AUACAGAGGGUGCAAGCGUUAUUCGGAAUCACUGGGCGUAAAGGACGCGUAGGCGGGUUGGCAAGUCAGAUGUGAAAUCCUACAGCUUAACUGUAGAACUGCAUUUGAAACUGCUAAGCUAGAGUAUGGGAGGGGGAGAUGGAAUUAGUGGUGUAGGGGUAAAAUCCGUAGAUAUCACUAGGAAUACCGAAAGCGAAGGCGAUCUCCUGGAACAUAACUGACGCUAAGGCGUGAAAGCGUGGGGAGCAAACAGGAUUAGAAACCCUAGUAGUCC
rnacentral:rRNA from 1 species